GAGGGUGGGCCCCUCGGGAUCGGCUUUCAGGAGCGGGUCUCAAACCAGCCCAAGCUGCUGUGGUAGAAGAGCCAUGGUGGUUAGCGUUGGGUCAAAAGCCGCGGACAUGAUCUGGGGCAGGU
rfam:Mesorhizobium amorphae CCNWGS0123 contig00246, whole genome shotgun sequence.